rnacentral:rRNA from 1 species
GACGAACGCUGGCGGCGUGCUUAACACAUGCAAGUCGAACGGAAAGGCCCUGCUUUUGUGGGGUGCUCGAGUGGCGAACGGGUGAGUAACACGUGAGUAACCUGCCCUUGACUUUGGGAUAACUUCAGGAAACUGGGGCUAAUACCGGAUAGGAGCUCCUGCUGCAUGGUGGGGGUUGGAAAGUUUCGGCGGUUGGGGAUGGACUCGCGGCUUAUCAGCUUGUUGGUGGGGUAGUGGCUUACCAAGGCUUUGACGGGUAGCCGGCCUGAGAGGGUGACCGGCCACAUUGGGACUGAGAUACGGCCCAGACUCCUACGGGAGGCAGCAGUGGGGAAUAUUGCACAAUGGGCGGAAGCCUGAUGCAGCAACGCCGCGUGCGGGAUGACGGCCUUCGGGUUGUAACCCGCUUUCGCCUGUGACGAAGCGUGAGUGACGGUAAUGGGUAAAGAAGCACCGGCUAACACGUG